CAACUCACAGCCUCCAAAUGCCUCCUUCUUCAGCGGAACCCGACCACAGACAUGACACAAAAGGGUCUUGAGGCAGGAUGAGAGUUCUGAAAUCCAGGCACCUGAGCCUGCAUGAUGGAUGCAUUUGUGCCAGCCUCAGGGCACCAGGCCUGAUGGUGAGCUCUGACCACCAUCAUAAUGAAUGUCAUCAUUGCCUAGUGACAAGUCCAGGCGGCUUGGCAGAGAAGACAUCCGUGGAGGAAUCUACUGUGCCCCUCAACUGCACUACUGGAAACAUUUUCAGCCUGGCCGUCAACACAGACAAUCUCUGAGACAGGUCUCAACCUCACCUGCAUGCCUAAGAGGCCAGUCCAAGUUGUGAGAAUACCGCUUCACCUUGGACUUGCCAUUGUCCUGGUUCCUGCCUUUCUUAGAAAGCCUCUGUGAGGCCCAGAUGAAGGGGAGCAGUGAGGUCAACAACCUGGCCAUCUUUCACUGACAAUAGCUUCUGAGGUCUGAGGUAUGAUUCUAUCACCCAAAGAACAUGCAACAGCACACCAGACAAUAUUCCAAUUCCCAUUGGACCUGAUUCUUGCACACAGCGUUUUUCAGGAGUGGAGUCAGAAGAGCAGUUUCCAGAGACAACCUCAUAGUCUUCAAAUGCCUCCUGACACAGCAGGAUUCAACCAUGGGGUCCACCCAAAAAGGCCCUGAGCAGUGGAUUUUCACAGGCAGCUUUUUUCCUGAUACCAGGAUGGGUUUGGCUGUACCACUUUCCUCUGCUUAGGCAGGCUGACAGCUCUCAAAGCCUGACUCCUGAGUCUGCCUCAGAAAUGGACAUGUGCUAGUUUGAGGGGACUAGGCCUGAUUGUGAGCACUGGUUAGCAUCACAAUGAAUGUCACCGUUGCCAAGAGACAAGUCCCUGUGGCUUGGCAGAGAAGAUGUCUGUGGAGGUGCAUUGGUGUUGGACUCACCUGUCUUCUCUGUGGGAUCCAUGGGUUUGAUCCAUGAUCCUAGGAGAGGGCAGACAUGAGCCAGCCUCAAGAAAUGUCAAACAGAGCCUGAGGAAUAAACCAUGAAAUCCCUAAGAAUCCAAGAAGAUCUGCAGGAUUCCUCAGGCCUGCCUAGAUGUUGUAAAGGUGAGUCUUUUUGAAACUUGUGCUACUGUGACUUCCUGGUAUAGCCCACCAGUGUUUUUCAAGGUUACUCUUUGUGUAUGUGUGUGUU
rnacentral:lncRNA from 10 species